GAUGAAGAACGUAGCGAAAUGCGAUAAGUAAUGUGAAUUGCAGAAUUCAGUGAAUCAUCGAAUCUUUGAACGCACAUUGCGCCCCUUGGUAUUCCGAGGGGCAUGCCUGUUCGAGCGUCAUUAUAACCCCUCAAGCUCAGCUUGGUGUUGGGGCCUGCCGCACGGGCAGCCCUUAAAAUCAGUGGCGGUGCCAUCUGGCUCUAAGCGUAGUAAUUCUUCUCGCUAUAGAGUCCCGGUGGAUGCUUGCCAUUAACCCCCAAUUUUCUAUGGUUGACCUCGGAUCAGGUAGGGAUACCCGCUGAACUUAAGCAUAUCAAUAGCGGAGGA
rnacentral:misc_RNA from 1 species